UGGGUAGGGGAGCGUCGUGUGCCGGGUGAAGCAGCGCCGGAAGGUAGUUGUGGACGGUUCACGAGUGAGAAUGCAGGCAUGAGUAGCGAUACACACGUGGGAAACGUGUGCGCCGAUUGACUAAGGGUUCCUGGGUCAAGCUGAUCUGCCCAGGGUAAGUCGGGACCUAAGGCGAGGCCGACAGGCGUAGUCGAUGGACAACCGGUUGAUAUUCCGGUACCCGCUUUGAAGCGCCAAACAUCGAAUCCUCUGAUGCUAAGGCCGUGAAGCCGCCCUG
rnacentral:rRNA from 1 species